CCAUCAUAAUCAGUGAUGAUGGUGACAGUGAUGGUAAUGUUGGAGAUGAAAUUCAUUGCCAUCAUUAUCAAUCACCAUCAUAAUCAUUC
rnacentral:miRNA from 1 species